rnacentral:rRNA from 1 species
UACGUAGGGUGCGAGCGUUGUCCGGAAUUAUUGGGCGUAAAGGGCUCGUAGGCGGUUUGUCGCGUCGGGAGUGAAAACACCGGGCUUAACUCGGUGCUUGCUUCCGAUACGGGCAGACUAGAGGCAUGCAGGGGAGAACGGAAUUCCUGGUGUAGCGGUGAAAUGCGCAGAUAUCAGGAGGAACACCGGUGGCGAAGGCGGUUCUCUGGGCAUGUCCUGACGCUGAGGAGCGAAAGUGUGGGGAUCAAACAGG